AACAUCCAGAGUGUUCUCUUUUUCUCUCGGCCGAACCACACUCCAUCUUCACAAAGCAAUCAAAUUGCUUUCCAACCCCUCCUUAAAGUUUGUUUCAUUUAUGAAAAAAAAACAAGCUUCAUCUAGCUAAUUAGAAGACUUAUUGAAAGAGAUUUGAUACUUGGGUUCAAGUUGGAAGCUAGUAAAUAAUUGGGGUUUGCAACCCCAAUGCUUGAAGAACCCUAUUUCCUUUUCUACUCUUCACCUUCCCAUGAAGAAACACUUACAAGAAGACAAGGUGAGUUCUUAUAGAAUUGAUUUGAGGUUAGAAUGAGAACCCUAAGAAAUGUUAUUAUUUUUAAUGAUAGAAUAUGAAUACUUGUUGUUCAUAGAAGUUAGUCAUAAAGAGAUAUGAUUUAUGAAUGCAUGCAAAUAAGUUGUGG
rnacentral:lncRNA from 1 species